rnacentral:rRNA from 1 species
UACGAAGGGGGCUAGCGUUGUUCGGAAUUACUGGGCGUAAAGCGCACGUAGGCGGACUGUUAAGUCGGGGGUGAAAUCCUGGGGCUCAACCUCAGAAUUGCCUCCGAUACUGGCAGUCUCGAGUGCGGGAGAGGUGAGUGGAAUUCCCAGUGUAGAGGUGAAAUUCGUAGAUAUUGGGAAGAACACCAGUGGCGAAGGCGGCUCACUGGCCCGUAACUGACGCUGAGGUGCGAAAGCGUGGGGAGCAAACAGG